rnacentral:snRNA from 1 species
AAGUGAGCCCAAAUAUUUGAGCC